GNUCCUGGCUCAGGACGAACGCUGGCGGCGUGCCUAAUACAUGCAAGUCGAGCGGAAUGAUGAAGAAGCUUGCUUCUUCUGAUUUUAGCGGCGGACGGGUGAGUAACACGUGGGCAACCUACCUUGUAGAUUGGGAUAACUCCGGGAAACCGGGGCUAAUACCGAAUAAUCCAUUUUGCUUCAUGGCGAAAUGUUGAAAGGCGGCUUCGGCUGUCACUACGAGAUGGGCCCGCGGCGUAUUAGCUAGUUGGUAGGGUAAUGGCCUACCAAGGCGACGAUACAUAGCCGACCUGAGAGGGUGAUCGGCCACACUGGGACUGAGACACGGCCCAGACUCCUACGGGAGGCAGCAGUAGGGAAUCUUCCGCAAUGGACGAAAGUCUGACGGAGCAGCGCCGCGUGAACGAAGAAGGCCUUCGGGUCGUAAAGUUCUGUUGUUAGGGAAGAACAAGUACCAGAGUAACUGCUGGUACCUUGACGGUACCUAACCAGAAAGCCACGGCUAACUACGUGCCAGCAGCCGCGGUAAUACGUAGGUGGCAAGCGUUGUCCGGAAUUAUUGGGCGUAAAGCGCGCGCAGGUGGUUCCUUAAGUCUGAUC
rnacentral:rRNA from 1 species